rnacentral:rRNA from 1 species
AUGGAACCAGCGACUGGCAGGCCGUUCUACUGUUUCAUUCUCGGCGCAGACGCCAGCGGCCAUGAAAGUAUCAUCCCAAUGACUGAUGAGAGGAACUGGGACGACCUCCCGGACGAGCUCGUAUCCAAGGUGGCGGAGCUCCUGCUGCGCUCAGAUGUGACCGACUACAUCCACCUGAGAGACAUCAAGCCUUGGAGAGGCGCCGCCCCGAAGCUCGUGGGAAUGAAUCCGCGCUUCUUCCCACGCCACUGGAAGAUGCUGCAGAUCCAAGGUGAGGAAGCCAGGUUCGUGAACGUCCUCACCGGCGCCUCCAUGCGGCUCAAGAUCCCUCGGCACUACGGGCAGGUCCUUGCCUGCGCCGAGGGCUGCCUGCUCUUCGCCGCACCCUCAGGCCGGGGCGCGCACAAGCUGCGCCUGUGCAACCCGGUGACCAGGGCCGUCGCCGACCUACCCAAUCUCAUGACCAGAGUUAUUUCACAAGACUUCAAGGCCGCAGGAAUCAUCUAUGACGUCGACGACGGCGAGGCUCCCACGCCCACCGUGGUGCUCCUCGUGGCGGUAUCGGUGUGGUCCAUUGACAUGGUCCUCUACGCGAGGCCUGGCGACGCCGUGUGGCAGUGGCAAUUCUUCGCCCCAAACGAGGACGGCGAGCUUCCGUUGUUCCAAGGCAAGGGCAGCCUCUCCCUGGGCGGCAACUUCUACGUCCCCACCCGCUCAGGGGACGUCCUCAAGCUGGAGCUCCACCCGCAGCCUCACUUCGUGUACGCGGCCACGCAGCAGGAGGUCACUAAUCAGGCCAGUCACUUACACUUAAACCUGAGGUCCUACCUGGUGCCGUCUGUCGAUGCAGGGAUGCUGCUGGUGGUUCGUAGGUUCGAGCACAUUGCCGGAUACAUAGCCGUGUCCAACGUAGUGUUCGAGGUGAACCUCGCAGAGGGCACCCUUACACUACUACAGGACCACAAGGACAUCGGCAAUCGGAGCAUUUUUCUCUGGUGGUUGACGCUCGGCACGCACUGA